rnacentral:rRNA from 1 species
AGGCUAGAAAAUUGGGCAAUGGGGGAAACCCUGACCCAGCGACGCCGCGUGCAGGAAGAAGCCCUUCGGGGUGUAAACUGCUGUCGUGCGGGGCGAAGGGCUCAUAGGUGAAUAAUCUAUGGGCUUGACGGUACCGCAGGAGGAAGCCCAGGCUAACCUCGUGCCAGCAGCCGCGGUAAUACGGGGUGGGCAAGCGUUGCCCGGAAUUACUGGGUUUAAAGGGGGUGUAGGCGGCCGGGAGAGUCAGGUGUGUAAUCCAACCGCUCAACGGUUGGGCUGCAUCUGAUACUUCCUGGCUAGAGGGCGUUAGAGGAGAGCGGAACUCCCGGUGUAGCGGUGAAAUGCGUAGAUAUCGGGAGGAACGCCGGUGGCGAAGGCGGCUCUCUGGGGCGUUCCUGACGCUGAGGCCCGAAAGCUGGGGGAGCGAAAGGGAUUAGAUACCCCUGUAGUCCCAGCCGUAAACGAUGGGCACUAGACGUUCCCCUGUAGGGGGGAGUGUCGAAGGGAAACUGAUAAGUGCCCCACCUGGGGAGUACGCCCGCAAGGGUGAAACUCAAAGGAAUUGACGGGGGCCCGCACAAGCGGUGGAGCGCGUGGUUUAAUUCGACGCUAAGCGAAGAACCUUACCUGGGCUUGACAUGCUGGUGGUACCCUGGUGGAAACACUGGGGGACCUCCCGCGAGGGAGGAGCCAGCACAGGUGCUGCACGGCUGUCGUCAGCUCGUGCCGUGAGGUGUUGGGUUAAGUCCCGCAACGAGCGCAACCCCUGCCCUUAGUUGCCACAGCAUCCAAGAGGUGGCUGGGCACUCUAAGGGGACUGCCGCCGAUGAGGCGGAGGAAGGUGGGGAUGACGUCAAGUCCGUGUGGCCUUUAUGUCCAGGGCUACACACGCGCUACAAUGGAUGGUACAAUGGGCUUAGCGACCCCGCGAGGGGGAGCGAAUCCCUUAAAACCAUCCCCAGUUCGGAUUGAGGUCUGCAACCCGACCUCAUGAAGACGGAAUCGCUAGUAAUCGCCUAUCAGCAUGGGGCGGUGAAUACGUUCCCGGGCCUUGUACACACCGCCCGUCACGCCAUGGGAGCCGGGGGCACCUGAAGUCGCUGGCCCAACCCCGCAAGGGGAGGGAGGCGCCUAGGGUGAAACCGGUGACUGGGGCG